AGAGUUUGAUCCUGGCUCAGAUUGAACGCUGGCGGCAUGCCUUACACAUGCAAGUCGAACGGUAACAGGUUAAGCUGACGAGUGGCGAACGGGUGAGUAAUGUAUCGGAACGUGCCCAGUCGUGGGGGAUAACUACUCGAAAGAGUGGCUAAUACCGCAUGAGACCUGAGGGUGAAAGCGGGGGAUCGCAAGACCUCGCGCGAUUGGAGCGGCCGAUAUCAGAUUAGCUAGUUGGCGGGGUAAAAGCCCACCAAGGCGACGAUCUGUAGCUGGUCUGAGAGGACGACCAGCCACACUGGGACUGAGACACGGCCCAGACUCCUACGGGAGGCAGCUGUGGGGAAUUUUGGACAAUGGACGAAAGUCUGAUCCAGCCAUGCCGCGUGCGGGAAGAAGGCCUUCGGGUUGUAAACCGCUUUUGUCAGGGAAGAAACGACGUCCUCUAAUACAGGGUGUUAAUGACGGUACCUGAAGAAUAAGCACCGGCUAACUACGUGCCAGCAGCCGCGGUAAUACGUAGGGUGCAAGCGUUAAUCGGAAUUACUGGGCGUAAAGCGUGCGCAGGCGGUUAUGCAAGACAGAUGUGAAAUCCCCGGGCUCAACCUGGGAACUGCAUUUGUGACUGCAUGGCUAGAGUACGGUAGAGGGGGAUGGAAUUCCGCGUGUAGCAGUGAAAUGCGUAGAUAUGCGGAGGAACACCGAUGGCGAAGGCAAUCCCCUGGACCUGUACUGACGCUCAUGCACGAAAGCGUGGGGAGCAAACAGGACUAGAUACCCUGGUAGUCCACGCCCUAAACGAUGUCAACUGGUUGUUGGGAGGGUUUCUUCUCAGUAACGUAGCUAACGCGUGAAGUUGACCGCCUGGGGAGUACGGCCGCAGGGUUGAAACUCAAAGGAAUUGACGGGGACCCGCACAAGCGGUGGAUGAUGUGGUUUAAUUCGAUGCAACGCGAAAAACCUUACCUACCCUUGACAUGUCUGGAAUCCUGAAGAGAUUUGGGAGUGCUCGAAAGAGAGCCAGAACACAGGUGCUGCAUGGCCGUCGUCAGCUCGUGUCGUGAGAUGUUGGGUUAAGUCCCGCAACGAGCGCAACCCUUGUCAUUAGUUGCUACGAAAGGGCACUCUAAUGAGACUGCCGGUGACAAACCGGAGGAAGGUGGGGAUGACGUCAGGUCAUCAUGGCCCUUAUGGGUAGGGCUACACACGUCAUACAAUGGCCGGUACAGAGGGCUGCCAACCCGCGAGGGGGAGCCAAUCCCAGAAAACCGGUCGUAGUCCGGAUCGUAGUCUGCAACUCGACUGCGUGAAGUCGGAAUCGCUAGUAAUCGCGGAUCAGCUUGCCGCGGUGAAUACGUUCCCGGGUCUUGUACACACCGCCCGUCACACCAUGGGAGCGGGUUCUGCCAGAAGUAGUUAGCCUAACCGCAAGGGGGCGAUUACCACGGCAGGGUUCGUGACUGGGGUGAAGUCGUAACAAGGUA
rnacentral:rRNA from 1 species